GGCUGGUCCUGCAGGCGGAGAAGGCUGCAAGCCCGCGGAGACAGGAGCGAGGCGGAGUGCCCUGGACGGCUGGAACGUGGAGAAACCAUGGCGGCCGCUCCAGCUCACCCUCCUGGGCUCGUUGCUGGCCCAGGUCGUGGUGGGGAGCGCCCCGGAGCGUCCCCGCCCUGCUCCCUUGGCUCCCGCCUCCUGCGGCCGUGCAGCGCCUCCUCGCCCGCCCCCGGCUCCGCCCGCCGUCGCUACAGCUCCUCGCGCUAACGGUCGGUGGCAGCCCGCGUGCGCCGCCCUCCGGGGGCUCGCGCCUGCCACGAGGGAGCGUCCGCGGCCCGUGCGCCCAGCCGCAGAGGAGAGGUGAGCCCCGGCCGGGCCGCGUCCCCUGCCUGCCGCGCAGCCGGCCUCCGCGCGGGGACCGUCUCUGUGUCCCCUCGUGGGCCAGGAGGACGUGGCGCGGCCCGGUUUGUGGACUGCGGGAGUAUCCGACCCGCCUCUGUGGGUGUCACCGGGUGUCGGCCGGCGCGCGUGGGCGUGUCCUCCCGGUCCACGCGUGUUCUCUCCAUCACUGUCGCCUUUCGUUCGGGACGACGGUUUCAGAAAUGGAGCCAUGGAGGGUCUCACAGUGGAGCUCAGGCUGGCCUCAAGUCACAGUCUUCCUGCCUCCCCCACCCACCAAGCGCUGGAAUUACAGGAUCCUGUUGUGCAGCCCGGGCUGGCCUGGAACUUCACAGUCCUCCUGCCUCCAGCAUCCUGAGUGUUUGCAUUGCAGUGCUACAGUGAACAUUGGGAUGUUAAUAUCUCUUCAAGAUCCUGACUGCAGAUUUUUUUUGAGAAAUACCCAGAAGUGGAAUUGCUGCAUCACUGUGAUAGCUAUCUUUCAGAGCAACUAGAUAUAAAAGAGAUGAUAGUAAACUGAGUCACAGAAAGAUUAAUUUGUCCAAAGAUACAGAAACAGAAAGUGACAGAACCUGGCAUCUUAACCACUAUAUUUCAACUGCCUCCAACAUUUGGAAGGGAACAAUGUUUGUGAUGCUGCUACAGUAGACCUUUGAUGAUGUCAAUAAGGAGACAUCCCCACUUUCUUUGGUUAAAAGUCUCAGAGACUUUAAGGAUCGCUGCCUGCCAAGAAGAAAGCAUGGUGAACCACAAGCUGUUGCUAUUUCACUGAACCACUCCACAGAUGGUCCAUGGCUGCUGAGCAGAGUGAACCUCAGGAUAGACUGCACUGGUCCCCGACAAGGCCACCCUCACCAGCAGAUGAGGUGUUAAUGGAUUAUUCCUGGUAAUGGGUUUCCCUUCGUCUCUUUAUUAAAUUCCAAGCUGUUACCUAGACUACAUCCCACUAUAUCUAAUUAAUGUACUAAUCAACUUUGUUUUGAAUGGAAAUGAAGAAAAUCUGUUGAUACUCCUGCUGGCAGAAUAAGAAAUAUGCCUACUGUGGAGUAUCUUUUUCCAUUAUGAAGAAAAUUUAAUCUCUGUCAUCCUCAAAAGUGAAAAAUUAUUUUGUAGUUGGAUUCCUGCUUGUAUGGCUUGGGGUUAUCCUAGUUUCCAAGUGACUAUUUGUUUCAGAAAGAUUCUCUCCAGAAGCCAUUCAUAAGGCUGUUAAAUUCUUUAAUAAAGAAUUGGAAGCCAAAUUAACUAGGCUAGAAACACGGAUAAUCAGUUGGCAGUAGACUGAUGUCCAGCCCCCUGAAUUUUUAACUGCUGCAGAACUGAGUGACCCAGCUGUGGGUCCCACUCCAAGUCUUCCAAUCUGAGAGCAGCCACCAUGCCAUCAUCUCACUCUGUCCUCCAGUUGUCUUGUGUAUCUCCCAGCAUCCAUAUGUGUGAUCCCUCCACACAGCGAUGCCCUCUGAUGACAUAUUGAGCAUGACAGCCAUGAGAGCCAUGAGCAUGUCCCAGCCACUGUGCUAUACCUUUAAAUCUUCUGUUCCAAUGACAACCAUUUGAAAAUGGGAAGAAUAAUCCCAUUUUUCACAUUUCAAAAUAAGACUUUGGAUAGAUUAUGUAUCUUGUCUGUAGCCACACAGCUACUAAUUGGUGAAGUAAGGAUUUUUGUCCACUUCCUACCCAAACCCCAGCCAUCAACUCUGUCAUCUCUAUUAAGAUUCUGGCUUCCCUAAAUAAAUACAUGAAAAAAUGUUCAACAUCACUGGUCAUUCGAGAGAUGCAAAUGAAAACAAAGCUGAGAUUCCACCUCACCCUGGAAAGAAUGGCUGCUAUCAUGAAAUCAACCAAUAACACAUGCUGGCAGGGCUGUGGGGAAAGAGGAACCCUGCUCCACUGCUGGUAGGAGUGUAGACUGGUGCAACCACUGUGGAAAUCAGUAUGGAGAUACCUCAAAGAACUAGGACUGGAAGUCCCAUUCAACCCAGGUAUUCCCCUGCUGGGGAUCUACCACAAAGAAUUAAAAGAAUCAUACCACAGUGAUAUAUGUGCACCCAUGUUCAUAGCAGCACAGUUUGUAAUAGCUAAAACUUGGAAACAGCCCAAAUGCCCAUCAACUGGAGAUUGGAUAAAGAAAAUGUGGGUUUUUUUUUAUAAAAUGGAGUAUUACUCAGCCAUAAAAAAUGAGAAAUUAGAGACAUUUAUAGCUAAGUGAAUGCACAUUGAGGCGAUACUCUUAAGUGAAAUAAAUAGGACACACAUGUAUAAAUUCCGAAUAGUUUCUCUGGUGUGAGAAACUGAAAGUGUAAAUAAGGACUAAAUGUAUAAUAGGUCAUGUGAAAUAGAAAGAAAAGGGGCAAAGGGGAAGGAAGUGGGAGGACUAGGGGAAAGGAUAGAAGGGAAUGGGAUUAAUAUGAGAAAAUGGAAAAAUAGGAACAAAAUCUUUGUAAAUAGGGAGGACUGGAGGGGUUGAAGGGAGGGCUGGGCAAGGGUGAAAAACAAGAACCAAGAGAGACUAUGUAAAGGUCCACAUUUCCAAUGAUGAAUGUCAUUACAUUGUAUACCUAAAAUGUACCAAUGAUUAGAAUGAAUAAUCGAUAAUGUAAAAUAGGAAGAAAAGAUCCAAAGGGGUAGGGGUAGUGGGAGGGGCAGGGGAAAGGAAAGAAGGGAAAGGAAAAAUGCUGAGAAAUGGAAAAAAUGGAAAUAAAGUCUUUGUAAAUAGGGAAGGGUGGAGGGCGUGAAGGGAGGGCUAGGAAUGGGGAAAAAAUAAGAACCAAGAUGCAUUAUGUAAAGGUACAAUUCCCAAUGAGAAAUGUAAUUGUGUUGUAUACCUACAAUGUACCAAUAAAAGAAUUUAAUUAAAAAAAAAAGAAAGAAACAUAUACCCUAAUUGAAAAGAAUAAUCCAAAAAAAAAAAAAAAAGAUUCUGGCUUCCCUGAAGCAACUGUUACAGGCUGGAAGACAUGGGCCACAGACAACUUUUAAAUAUGAAAUGAUAAUUCUUUGCCUACUGAGAUUCUUUUUUUAAAAAAAUCCACAGGAAGAGUGCAUUUAUAUAUUUAUUUAACAUUUAUGUGCAAUGUCUACAUUUACAAAGUGUUUUACAGUGUAAUAGAAUGGGCACAAAUUUUUUAUCUGGGCACAUAAUUGUCUUUUCUUUCAUAUUCAUUUGUUCCUUUGAUUUAAUGUGUUUUCCAUUUGGUCUUCGGAGAUCAUGUACAAUGGUGACAAAUUUAGAAUAAUAAUAAAAGAUUAUUUUAUAUCACUCAUAAGGAAAACUGAUUAAAGCCAUGCAUGUCUCUACUCUGUAUAAAUAUUAUGCAAGAAAGCAUUAUAUUGUUCCCAGAAUAUUGUCUGUAACAUUAGCUGUACUAAAUUUAAAAAUAUACUUACC
rnacentral:lncRNA from 1 species